rnacentral:rRNA from 1 species
AUACGUAGGGGGCUAGCGUUAUCCGGAAUUACUGGGCGUAAAGGGUGCGUAGGUGGCCAAAUAAGUCAGGUGUGAAAGACCGGGGCUCAACCCCGGGGUUGCACUUGAAACUGCAUGGCUUGAGUACAGGAGAGGGAAGUGGAAUUCCUAGUGUAGCGGUGAAAUGCGUAGAUAUUAGGAGGAACACCGGUGGCGAAGGCGACUUUCUGGACUGUAACUGACACUGAGGCACGAAAGCGUGGGGAGC